GCUUCUAUGACCUAAUGGAUAAGGAACCGGCCUCCUAAGCCGAGAACUGCGGAUUUGAGUCCCGCAAGAGGUA
rnacentral:tRNA from 1 species